rnacentral:ncRNA from 1 species
UUAAAGACGGUGAACGAGAAGAGUAGGUACAGGGCGAAGCCCCAGAGAGGAACCGUCACCGGCUGGAAGCGGUUCCGGCAGAGCGGUACCGAAAGUGCGCUCGGGAGUCGCGGUGCCGAAUUAAAGUAGGCAUCGACGGGAGGGAACCGUUAGCAUUCCCAGGCAGAGGGGUGUUGUUUUGCCCGAAGCAGAGUGGAACCACGGAAGAAAUCCUUUCGUCUCUGAA